rnacentral:lncRNA from 1 species
CAUUGGAUGGAGUGUGGGAGCACCCUCCUCCCACCCCCGCCCGCACCCUGGGUCCUGGGAGAAAGUCAUCUUGAUGCCAGGAAGGCCAUCUACAGGAAUUUUAUACUAAUGGGGUCCUAUAAAUAGUUAUGGGCACAUGGAAAUGCCAAACAUCUCAUUAAAACUUACCCACCUGAUGGAAAACUGAUCAGAGAGAUGGAGAGAAGUGUUUUCUUAGAACUUCCAAUCCUCCUGGUCAGCCUGAGAAGAAAGGGAAACCAAAGGCCUAAUCACCGAAUAGCAAGGGUUUCAACUACAGAGCAAGGAUGUUCACAUCAGUGUCAGUGCUGAAGCAAGAGAAGCGACUGAACAAUCAGUCAAUAAACAUGAAGCACCCACUAUGAGUCGGGUGCA